rnacentral:lncRNA from 1 species
AGAAAGAAAAAAAAGGAAGAAAAAGAAAAGAGAAAAUAAAAAUAAAAAAAUUAUAAUUUGGAUUUUUAUAAAGUUGAAGAGAGAAGGGAGGAAUUAUAAUGUUUUUGUUAAAGAUGAGUUUUCAACCCAACCCAUUUAAAAACCCACUUAAGACCCACCUAUCUUAAACCUAUAAUUGUGAAACCCAUUUAACUAUCUUUUGUUAUAAACAAGUGACCCAUUUAUGACCCAUUUAAGAUUUAAAUGGGUC